CUCUGACUGUUAAUGACUCCAUUACACUUAAGCUGUUGAUUUCUCAAAUGAAUUGUUUGAUAUUUGUCAUGCCUUAUUGUUGAAGGCAGUACGGUCGUCUAUAUAAUUGCUAAUAUCCACUUUAUUCGAACUUUGGUAAUCAUACCACAUCUUCUUAUUUUAUAAGAAAACCCCAUGACGACAAAGAUGAAUCGGAAACAAUAAUGACAGCUAUUUCAGUAAAACAAAGUGCUGUUACUCGGGACAUUUUCUGUAAUCUUGGACAUUCCUAUGAUCGUCUAUGAAAUUCAAUGGAUUUGUUCGAUUUCGGAAGAUCCUUUUUGGAUAUUCUAUUCUAUAUUAAUACUGCAAGAGAUAUGUUUUAACUAAGACAGGGAUAGGGGUGUCCCUGGCCAAAAACGAAUGCAGAUACAAGUUAAAUUUGCGAAGACGAUCUUAUUAAUAAGUUGAUUAUCAACCUUCGAGAUACCCAGUCGAUAAGAUUAAAACUAAGAGAACUUUCGGAGAAGAAUAAAGAGUAAUAUGUGGGUUUUGAGUGCAACAUGGGUUCUUCAUCAUUCUAAGAUUACUUCAAGAUACACUCUUAGUAGACAAAAUGAUGUAAAGCACUAAGAUUGCUUCAUGAUUACGGCUUCUGAACUAC
rnacentral:lncRNA from 1 species